UACGAAGGGGGCGAGCGUUGUUCGGAAUUACUGGGCGUAAAGGGCGCGUAGGCGGCCGAUCAAGUCAGAUGUGAAAGUCCUAGGCUUAACCUGGGGACUGCAUUUGAUACUGAUUGGCUUGAAUUCGGGAGAGGAUAGCGGAAUUCCCAGUGUAGAGGUGAAAUUCGUAGAUAUUGGGAAGAACACCGGUGGCGAAGGCGGCUAUCUGGACCGACAUUGACGCUGAGGCGCGAAAGCGUGGGGAGCAAACAGG
rnacentral:rRNA from 1 species